rnacentral:rRNA from 1 species
GACGAACGCUGGCGGCGUGCUUAACACAUGCAAGUCGAACGAGUGGCGAACGGGUGAGUCACGCGUAUCAACCUGCCCUUAAGAGGGGGACAACUACUGGAAACGGUAGCUAAUACCGCAUACCAUCAGAUGUGCCCAGAUGGGAGUAGCUAGUAGGUGGGUUAAUGGCUCACCUAGGCGCCGAUCCCUAGCUGGGCUGAGAGGAUGACCAGCCACACGGGAACUGCGACACGUUCCAGACUCCUACGGGAGGCAGCAGUGGGGAAUAUUGCACAAUGGGCGCAAGCCUGAUGCAGCCAUGCCGCGUGUGUGAAGAAGGCCUUCGGGUUGUAAAGCACUUUCAGCGAGGAGGCGUUACUCGCAGAAGAAGCACCGGCUAACUCCGUGCCAGCAGCCGCGGUAAUAC